GGCAACACAUGUGCUAAAUACUAAAAUUGCAAAGAUACAGAGAAGAUUAACAUGCCCCUGCACAAGGAUGACAUGCAGAUUCAUGAAGCAUUCCAUAUUUUU